rnacentral:rRNA from 1 species
UUUUGGGCAAUGGGCGAAAGCCUGACCCAGCAACGCCGCGUGAAGGAUGAAAUCCCUCGGGAUGUAAACUUCGCAAGAACGGGAAGAAUAAGUCUGUGUGAAUACCACAGGCGAUGACGGUACCGUUUGUAAGCUCCGGCUAACUCCGUGCCAGCAGCCGCGGUAAUACGGGGGGGGCAAGCGUUGUUCGGAAUUACUGGGCGUAAAGGGCGCGUAGGCGGCUCGCUAAGUCGGGUGUGAAAACUCUGGGCUCAACCCAGAGCCUGCACUCGAAACUGACGAGCUAGAGUUCUGGAGGGGAAAGCGGAAUUCCUGGUGUAGCGGUGAAAUGCGUAGAUAUCAGGAGGAACACCGGUGGCGAAGGCGGCUUUCUGGACAGAAACUGACGCUGAGGCGCGAAAGCUAGGGGAGCAAAC